rnacentral:rRNA from 1 species
AUGACCACUUUGAGCUACAAAUAGCCCAUACAAACAAAUAACAACUAUAUUACAACCUAAAACAAAACAUUUAAAACAAAAGACUAGUAUAGGAGAUAGAAACUCAACAACGGAGCUAUAGAGAUAGUACCGCAAGGGAACAAACAAACUGUCAAAGCAACAAACAGCAAAGAUUACCCCUUAUACCUUUUGCAUAAUGAACUAACUAGACUAACUUAGCAAAGAGAACUUAAGUUAAUCCCCCCGAAACCAGACGAGCUAUCUAUGGACAGCCUUUAGGGCAAACUCAUCUAUGUGGCAAAAUAGUGAGAAGAUCUAUAGAUAGAGGUGAAAAGCCUACCGAGCCUGGUGAUAGCUGGUUGUCCAGAAUAGAAUCUUAGUUCAAACCUAAAUUUACCUAACAAACUACAAAUUUCAAUGUAAAUUUAAGUGAUAGUCUGAAAAGGUACAGCUUUUCAGACACAGGAUACAACCUUUAUUAGAGAGUAAGAAUUAAUUAUAUUACAGUUGGCCUAAAAGCAGCCACCAAUAAAGAAAGCGUUCAAGCUCAACAUAACCUAACAUAUUUAAUACCAACAAUAUCUAAACGAACUCCUAAUAUAAAACUGGACUAUUCCAUAUUCAAUUGGAAGCAUUACUGUUAGUAUGAGUAACAAGAAGUAAUUCUCCCUAGCAUACGUGUAUAUCAGAACGCAUAAGCACUGAUAGUUAACAAAAAAUAAACUCAAGCCAACAACAGGUACUUUAUCUAACCCAUUUUGUUAACCCAACACAGGAAUGCAUAUAAAGGAAAGAUUUAAAAGAGUAAAAGGAACUCGGCAAACACGAACCCCGCCUGUUUACCAAAAACAUCACCUCUAGCAUCCCAAGUAUUAGAGGCACUGCCUGCCCAGUGACAUUAGUUCAACGGCCGCGGUAUUCUGACCGUGCAAAGGUAGCAUAAUCACUUGUUCUUUAAAUAGGGACUCGUAUGAAUGGCCACACGAGGGUUCUACUGUCUCUUACUCUAAAUCAGUGAAAUUGACCUUCCCGUGAAGAGGCGGGAAUAACUAAAUAAGACGAGAAGACCCUAUGGAGCUUUAAUUACCUACCCUAAAAUAAUAACUCACAAGCCAAAAGGCAAUAAAACUCCAUUAACUAGGGUAGCAAUUUAGGUUGGGGUGACCUCGGAAUAAAAAACAACUUCCGAGUGAUUAAACAAUAGACUAACUAGUCAACAAAACAAUCAUUUAUUGAUCCAAAACUAUUUUGAUCAACGGAACAAGUUACCCUAGGGAUAACAGCGCAAUCCUAUUCAAGAGUCCCUAUCGACAAUAGGGUUUACGACCUCGAUGUUGGAUCAGGACAUCCUAAUGGUGCAGCCGCUAUUAAUGGUUCGUUUGUUCAACGAUUAAAGUCCUACGUGAUCUGAGUUCAGACCGGAGUAAUCCAGGUCGGUUUCUAUCUAUUUCACGCCUCUCCCAGUACGAAAGGAUAAGAGAGACAGGGCCCACCUUAAAAAGGCGCCCUAACAGUUAACAGAUGAUGCAGUCUCAAUCUGAAACACUAGUAAUUAAACCUGCCCUAGACCAGGGCUUG